rnacentral:precursor_RNA from 13 species
AUGACUUCACAUUUUUCCUGGUUGUCCAGGCUUCACAGCCCUUCUAAACAAGUCCUUGAAGGAUGCUUGUUUAGAAGAUCUUUGAACCGUGGUUACCAGUUCUGCACCAUUUUUUCUUU